GAUGAACGCUAGCUACAGGCUUAACACAUGCAAGUCGAGGGGUAACGAGAGGAAAGCUUGCUUUCCUUGUCGACGACCGGCGCACGGGUGAGUAACGCGUAUCCAACCUGCCCCCAACUAGGGAAUAACCUUGCGAAAGUAAGACUAAUACCCUAUAAUUUCCUCAGAUGUCAUCUGACGAGGAAUAAAGAUUUAUCGGUCGUGGAUGGGGAUGCGUCUGAUUAGCUUGUUGGCGGGGUAACGGACCACCAAAGCAACGAUCAGUAGGGGUUCUGAGAGGAAGGUCCCCCACAUUGGAACUGAGACACGGUCCAAACUCCUACGGGAGGCAGCAGUGAGGAAUAUUGGUCAAUGGGCGGAAGCCUGAACCAGCCAAGUAGCGUGCAGGAUGACGGCCCUAUGGGUUGUAAACUGCUUUUAUACAGGAAUAAAGUUAGCCACGUGUGGAUAUUUGUAGGUACUGUAUGAAUAAGGACCGGCUAAUUCCGUGCCAGCCGCCGCCGUAA
rnacentral:rRNA from 1 species